UCCAGGACACAGACCUUUCCCGCUGAUGGCUCUGAAGGUUUCACACUCUCUUUGCAAGCAUGAAACUCUCAACUGGGCUGCUAAAUUGUGUACAGUUACUCCCCUGGAUCCUCACUGUGAGACAGAGAGAUGGCCUGUAGGUGAAGUUACAAAUCUCAAUAAAAUCUUGAAAGUG